GCCCCAAUAGCUAGUCCACCCUUCAAAUUCAAACAAACAACAUUAAUAGCCCCACAAGCCCCACCAACUAUAUGGCUAAACCAUUCUCCCGCCCCAGUAUAGGAGAUAGAAAAGGAAAUUAGGCACUACAGAAGAAGUACCGCAAGGGAAAGCUGAAAGAGAGAUGAAACAGUCCAGUAAAGGUAACAGAAGCAGAGCUAACACCUCGUACUU
rnacentral:rRNA from 1 species